rnacentral:rRNA from 1 species
AUAUGCCUUAUGGUGGGGGACAACAGUUGGAAACGACUGCUAAUACCGCAUAACGUCUACGGACCAAAGGGGGGGAUCUUCGGACCUCUCGCCAUUUGAUUAGCCCAAGUGAGAUUAGCUAGUUGGUGAGGUAAUGGCUCACCAAGGCGACGAUCUCUAGCUGGUUUGAGAGGAUGAUCAGCCACACUGGGACUGAGACACGGCCCAGACUCCUACGGGAGGCAGCAGUGGGGAAUAUUGCACAAUGGGCGAAAGCCUGAUGCAGCCAUGCCGCGUGUGUGAAGAAGGCCUUCGGGUUGUAAAGCACUUUCAGUUGUGAGGAAAGGGAUGUAGUUAAUAGCUGCAUUCUGUGACGUUAACAACAGAAGAAGCACCGGCUAACUUCGUGCCAGCAGCCGCGGUAAUACGAGGGGUGCAAGCGUUAAUCGGAAUUACUGGGCGUAAAGCGUUCGUAGGCGGUCUAUUAAGCAAGAUGUGAAAGCCCAGGGCUCAACCUUGGAACUGCAUUUUGAACUGGUAGACUAGAGUACUGUAGAGGGUGGUGGAAUUUCCAGUGUAGCGGUGAAAUGCGUAGAGAUUGGAAGGAACAUCAGUGGCGAAGGCGGCCACCUGGACAGAUACUGACGCUGAGGAACGAAAGCGUGGGGAGCGAACAG